CAUACCAUGAAUAUACCGGUUCUCGUUAGAUCACCGAAGUCAAGCAGCAUUGGGCGCGGUCAGUACUUGGGUGGUGACCACUUGGGAACACCGCGUGCCGUUA
rnacentral:rRNA from 1 species